AAUCCUGCAAAGUCUAAUUUUGGCUAAGAUCAAGUGUAAUAUCUGUUCUUAUUAGUUUAAUAUCUGAUAACCCGAGCCUAUGGGUUCAGGGGCAAGCUUAUAGGUUUUACCUUUGUGUUUGCCUUGAUAUUAAUUUUUUUUAUAGGGAAAGGACCCUUAAUAUAGUAGCUUGCUACUUGAGGUUCCUUUUGUGUUACCCUUAUUUUGCACUUCCAUGAGGGUUUGUCACACCCGCC
rnacentral:snRNA from 1 species